AUUCAACUGAUAAGUCCCAAAUAGGACGAAAUCCAUGUCUUGGAU
rnacentral:hammerhead_ribozyme from 1 species